GCUUGAAUCAAGUGUGGGAGCAGCAGAGCAUCUAAAACAUGCAGGACCAGGAUGAAGAAACCCCUGAUCUAAAGCUACACACAGUUCUUCCUUGAACGGGUAGAAAAGCCUGCACAGACCUUUCUGAAGUCGUCCAGCUAAAUGUAUUCAUUCUGUUGGCAGCAGCUGCAGCGAGAAGGGAGGACGAACUGCAAGACAUCAAGACAUCAGCAUCCUCAGCAGCUCUUUCAGCAGAAUCAUGGCGUAGAGAAACGACGGACGUCUUUCUGAGGUUUUCUCUUCACACUCAGACGCAGAGCAGACGAUGGCUCACCGGAUUCUGUGGCUUGGUCAUGGCCCAGGUCAUCACUGUCGAGACUAAGACGAAC